CCAGAGGCAUGUCUCUGAACUGGCGCUUCUUUUUCACCCACGCAUCUGUUUACUCAGCUAAUCCAUCUUAAAGCGACGGCUGCUUAUGAUCUGGAUCGUUCUAAAUGCAACCGUCGCUGACGUCUGAGGUAUACGCUGUUGUCUAAACCAAGAAACCUCGAACAGUGGUGAGCCUGCAAUCAAAAAGGGAAAGCGGCAGAGCCGGUGCUAAAACGAGAAUAAAUAUUGGCAUGGCUUUUGAGACGUGGUGACAACGCCGAGAUCUGAAGGGCUUGAAGACUGAUGCAGAGAUGGCUUUUUUUCCCUGCCGAACAGAAACACUGGUUGCAAUACCUGAAUACACACUUGAUGGGAGCAGUCAGUUACACGACAAUACAUAGACACUAAUCCACCAAUCCAUAUGGUUUUGGGAGGUGAAGAAAACCAGAGAACCCUGAGGCCUAAGGAAACCUCAAGUACAUGGGGCUCAGAACUGAACCCCUGACCCCUGGAUCUGUGAAGCACCAACACUACUUGCAAUACUGUACCUCUGUCACAGACCUGCACUGUCAUGAAUCAUUGCUCUUUCUACCCUGAGUUUUAACACCUGGAACUUGUUAACCAUGAACUAGUUAAACACCUUUCACAUUCAGUGCUCAUUCCUGUGAGCAUGUUUUUUGCCCUCCUAGACACCUUCCUCUAUGUGUUUAUUCGAGAUUUCUUUUUGCUACUGUUGCUUUGUUUCCUUGCUUCAUUAUGCUGGUCUAUUGUUUAUUCCUGUGUGUUAUAUUAAACCUCUUGCAUUAAUGUUCAAUCUAGUGCUUGCGACAGCUGUUAUUAUGGCAAAAAUAAUUAUUCUUUAUUCCUGGAGC
ensembl:lncRNA